rnacentral:rRNA from 1 species
AUUGAACGCUGGCGGCAUGCCUUACACAUGCAAGUCGAACGGUAACGCGGGGCAACCUGGCGACGAGUGGCGAACGGGUGAGUAAUGCAUCGGAACGUGCCCAGUAGUGGGGGAUAGCCCGGCGAAAGCCGGAUUAAUACCGCAUACGACCUACGGGUGAAAGCGGGGGACCGUAAGGCCUCGCGCUAUUGGAGCGGCCGAUGUCAGAUUAGGUAGUUGGUGGGGUAAAGGCCUACCAAGCCUACGAUCUGUAGCUGGUCUGAGAGGACGACCAGCCACACUGGGACUGAGACACGGCCCAGACUCCUACGGGAGGCAGCAGUGGGGAAUUUUGGACAAUGGGCGCAAGCCUGAUCCAGCCAUGCCGCGUGCGGGAAGAAGGCCU